AGUGAACGCUGGCGGUAGGCCUAACACAUGCGAGUCGUACGGCAGCACAGUAAGAGCUUGCUCUUACGGGUGGCGAGUGGCGGACGGGUGAGGAAUACAUCGGAAUCUACUUUUUCGUGGGGGAUAACGUAGGGAAACUUACGCUAAUACCGCAUACGACCUACGGGUGAAAGCAGGGGAUCUUCGGACCUUGCGCGAUUGAAUGAGCCGAUGUCGGAUUAGCUAGUUGGCGGGGUAAAGGCCCACCAAGGCGACGAUCCGUAGCUGGUCUGAGAGGAUGAUCAGCCACACUGGAACUGAGACACGGUCCAGACUCCUACGGGAGGCAGCAGUGGGGAAUAUUGGACAAUGGGCGCAAGCCUGAUCCAGCCAUACCGCGUGGGUGAAGAAGGCCUUCGGGUUGUAAAGCCCUUUUGUUGGGAAAGAAAAGCAGCAGGUUAAUACCCCGCUGUUCUGACGGUACCCAAAGAAUAAGCACCGGCUAACUUCGUG
rnacentral:rRNA from 1 species